CGUAACAAGGUUUCCGUAGGUGAACCUGCGGAAGGAUCAUUGUCG
rnacentral:rRNA from 5 species